UGCUAGUUAGUUUAAGUAAAACAUUCGAUUUCGGCUCGAAAGACUGUGGUUCAACCCCACGACUGUCAG
rnacentral:tRNA from 1 species